ensembl:lncRNA MIR100HG mir-100-let-7a-2-mir-125b-1 cluster host gene
AUGCUCAGUGUAAAUUCUCCUGGAGCCUGUCAAGCUAUGUUUGAACUCGUUCCAGGAUAGUGGAUUUACUUUUUUUUCCCCACCAGGAAGAAUACUCGAUUAGACUGCAUUUUGCCUUGCUUUUCCUUCUCCCUUUCUCUCUCUUUCUUUCUUUCUUUCUUUCUUUCUUUCUUUCUUUCUUUCUUUCUUUCUUUCUUUCUUUCUUUCUUUCUUUUUCUUUCUCUCUCUCUCUCUCUUUCUUUCUUUCCUUUCUUUUCUUUCUUUCCUCUUUCUCUUUCCUUCUUUCUUUUUUUCUUCUUUCUUUCCUUCCUUCCUUCCAUCUUUCUUUUCUUUCUUUCCAUUUUUUUUUUCCUCCAGAAGAAUGGAAACAGUAUUCUUUUCCGAUCAGUUCAGUAAUACAAUGUCCUUCAGUGUCCAUAUGAGCAUUUCAGUGGAGAAGAAAAGAAACUUUGCUACCUGGGAACUGAAGACUACUUAGGCAAAGAUGGGCUGUCUGGAAAGCUGGACUCAGCCUGGAGCAUGUUCCCCAGAUUGCUAUUUUGUGAAGGCUUCCGCAUACAAAUGACUCAGAUCCAAACAUUCAAAAAUGAUCUUGGAGGGCCAUCUGGUUCUUGCUGGUUCUAAAAGCUUCCUUCAGCCUGGAGUAUGGAUCCAGUACAAAAGAUAGUGAGAGCUGUUCAUUGAGGUUUAACAUGUUCCACUGACCGAGGCUAGAAGCUGGCUUUAAAAAAUAGCCAACACUGAUGCUCCAAGGGCCAAUUGCUGAUGCUUGUCACAGUGAAGAUCCCGGUGUUACACAUCCAAUCGUUCACCUCCUUCCAAGACUAUGACAUUCCAGGAAACCUUCACUGCUAAGAGGAACUAAGAUCUAGAGUAUCUCCUCGAGGAAGUACAACUGACUUGUCUUUGGACAAAAUUGAGAAGAACUCAUAAACUUGGCUUCCUCGCUUCUGCUCCUC